GUGAGUUUUGCCUUGUGAAUGAGGCCAAGGGUCUCUUUGGCCGUGGAAAAUUGAACAUGCAGACACACGAACCGUUGGUGAAUGGACAACUUGGCGUUUUGUCCUGUGAAACGCUUGCAUGCAUGCUAAAAAAGUUCACAUGCAGAUAAGCUAUGUUAAAGCCAAUAGCAAAUUCAACAAAAUGCAAACAAAAGCUUCCAUCGUGUCAUAAUUCUGAUCAGUGUCCUUAUAAGCUACAAUUUAUAUAGCUAAAAAUAUAUAUGUGUAUAUAUAUUUGAACGAAAUGAUUUUAAAAAUGAUUAGGGGGGAGUUGUGGGUAAAAAGCUAAUUAUCAAAAUGUCCUGCUCUGUGCAUGAAAGAAAACAGCCUUCCUUAGGGUGCAGAGAGAGUUGCCCCUCAACCUUAGGCACACCAACAAUCACCUUCUCCUCCACCUUCUUGACACUACCCUGCACAAAACUGUACGCUUCUAACUGUAAGCUUUUAUUGACAAAGAGAGCAGUAGAAGUGCUUCAGAGAGGGAGAGAGGAACAAGAAAUGAAAGAAGUAAAUUUGCACAUUUGUUUCUAAUGCGUUGCAUACAACGCCGCCUUAAUGGAGGAGAGAGAAAGAAGCUCUGUUGCGCCAGGGACACGGGACAAUGUCCUGCAGGAGUCGAGAGGAGGGCUGUGUGUGUGUGUGUGUGUGUGUGUGUGUGUGUGUGUGUGUGUGUGUGUGUGUGUGUGUGU